UUUUUCAGGUGAUAGAGCACCUUCUUUAAAGGUUCAUCUAAAAUAAUGAAGAAUCUUAGACCCAUAUGUUUUCUUGUUUUCUUCAGCUACGUUCAAUGCCAAACUCUACAGAGAAGUUUACUAGCUGCAGCCUUGAACCACACUAAUAGCCAGAAUUAUCUGCAAGAGAACUUAAGAGACAUUACUAGCAUUAUGGUUGCUCAGUUUCUUCAGAAAUCAACUUAUCAAGAAGUACAAACCAUAGUUGAAGAGUUGGUAGAUCGUGCAGAGAAGUGCAAGGUCCUCAAGCCACAGGAAUCACCGUCCGAAUGCUCUCACCAGUUGAUGACUACCUUCCUAGAGCAUGUUUGUAAUAACCAAGGAAUGGCUGACAAACAGGAGUUUUCUGACUGUUGCAAUAUAAAUAACAAAGCAAGACUCAGGUGCUUCCUGUUAUACAAAAAAGAUGACACAGAAUAUAGCGAUGUAUUCCAAAUUCCAAAUCUCGAGCAGAUCUGCGAGGUAGACAAAGAGAAUCAAGCAUCAGUGAAGGAGAGGUACGUUUAUGAAACAUCUAGAAAGCAUCCAUUCUUGUAUGGACCUACUAUUCUGACCAUGUCUGCUUGCUAUGAAACAGCUGUUCAGUCAUGUUGCCAAGAAGAAAACAAAACUGAGUGCUUCCAGAUAAAGUUAGAACCUAUCAGGAAAUAUGUGAGAGAAAUAUCUUUGAGGCAUCACCAUUUAUGUGAAAUUGGGAUUAAAUUCAACCACAAAGUAUCAAAAGCAGUGGAAUUGGUUCUGCUGACUAAGAAACAACCGAAAGCUAACUUUUCUGAAAUUGCCAAACUGGCCGGGGAUGUUAAAAAUCUGCAUCAGACCUGUUGUGAAGGAGAUGUGGUAGCCUGUGUACUUGGCAGGAGCCAGCUUAUGAACGAUACCUGUUCUAAACAGUCGACCCUAUCCAGCAAAAUCACUCCCUGCUGUGCACUGUCCGUGCCAUUCCGAGGGGAAUGCAUUAUCAACUCAGAAAAUGAUGACAAACCUGAUCUUUCAUCUCGGCCACUCAGCAGGUUUACAGAAGACCGAUUUGUAUGCAAGCAAUUCAUCGACAAGCAAGAUGAUCUCCUGCCAGAGUUUCUUUAUGAAUAUUCAAGAAGACAUUCAGAAUUGGCAGUUUCUGUGAUUUUAAGAGUGUAUACAGUAUAUCAAAAUUUAUUGGGAAAAUGCUGUAAAUUAGAAAAUCCUCUGGAAUGCUAUAGCCAUGGGAAAGAGAUGUUCCAAAGAGUGGUUGGUGAAAGCCAUGAGCAUAUAAAAAAUCACUGUGAUUUACGUGAGAAAUUAGGAGAUGCUAACUUCCAUGACAGGCUCAUAAUCCUUUAUACUAAGAAAGUCCCACAACUAUCUGCUCAAGAGUUGGUUACGUUCACGAAGAACAUGGCAGCUGCUGCCACCAAAUGUUGCCCACUGAGAGAUGAGCAGCGAUUUGUCUGCAUGGAGGACUCGGCAAAACUAAUUCUUGGAGCUUUAUGCAGAAGACACGAAGCAGAGCCUAUCAAUGCUGGUGUGGGUCACUGCUGUGAGGACUCAUAUGCCUUCAGGAAGCCAUGCUUUGAUGAUCUGCAGGUAGAUAGAACUUACAUUUCUCCACCUUUAUCCUGUGACCAAGUCAUCAGCCUUAAAGAGGACUUGUGCAAAGCUCGGGAGGAGCAAUUCCAAACUGAGAAGCAAAAGCUCCUGAGCAAUCUUGUGAAGCAGAAACCACGGGCAACGGAGAUGCAGUUCCAAUCAAUUAUUGCAGAUUUCGCUCACCUGGUGGAGAAGUGCUGCCAAGCAGAGGAAAGUGAAAUGUGCUUCAGAGGAGAGGGGUCCAAACUGAUUGAAAAGUGCCAGUCUCUCUUGGGACACAAAUGACCCCAGAAAAUGUCUGUGCGGAAUCUUUGAUAUAGCAACAUGACAGUUACACCUGCCAUCUUGUCCACCUCAUAGGCUGCCUUGAAAAUGGACUUCUUCCCCGUUCAGUUCCUGAAACCAAUGUGAACGGCCCUAAGCAAAAUUCCAUAGCAACACUGCCUAACUGAACAUUUCAUAUAACCAAGAGAUAGUAAAAUAUACCACCAAAUCAGAGAAAACCAUACAGAAAAGAUUCUAUAUUUCUUUAGCUACUGGGUCCGAUUUGUGAAAAGGAUGCAUAUAUACAGGAGCUUUUAGAAAAACAUUUCAUAUAACUCAUUUGUACAUUCUUUUAUUCACUGAUUCACUAAUUCAUUAAGUCUUUUAUUCAAUUGAUUUUUAUUAAGCACAUCCUAUAUACAAAACACAGCAUUAAAUUCAGCCAAGUAUACAAAGAUGAAUGUAACAGGUCCUCUACCAUUAAUAAGUAUAACAUUACUGGGGUUGAAUUUGAACUAAUAUGUAACUGGUAAUAAAAAACCUGAGCCACCUGAAGCAAGGAUAAAGAGUUUUAUGACAAAAGUUUAUAUUCUUGUAUUAUGCAAAGAUACCUCCGAACAGAUUUUUCUCUCUGAAAUUGUAUUGCCAUGUAACAAAUUAUCCUAAAAUUUGGCAUACUACAACAGCCAUUUAUUUUCUCAUACAUUUUCAAAGGUCAGGAAUCCAGGAGUGGGUUAGCUGGGUUUUCUGGCUCAGGGUGUCUCAGGAGGCUGUAGUCAAACUGUUAGGGCUGUGUCAUCUGAAGGCUUGACCGGGACCAGCCCAUGGCCCACUCAUCUGGCUGUGGACAGGAGGCCUCAAUUGUUGCUGGCUCUGGCAAAGGUCUCUGUUCCCAUGAUGCAAAUCUUUCUCUGGGGCUGCUCUCGCCGUGGUAGUCGGCUUCCCUCAGAGCCAGUGACCCAGGAGAAUGAGCGAGAAGGAUGCCACAGCGUUAUAUGACCUAGUUGCCCAAAUCACACAGUGUCACUUCUGCUGUCCUCUGCUCAUCAGGAUUGAGUCACUAGGUCCAGUCCAUUUGCAAGGUGGGAAGGAUUAGGCCCCACCUCUUGAGAGGAGGAAUAUCAAAGACUUUAUGAAUAUAUUUUAAAACUACCACAGAAGCGAAGUUAAUGUCUUAUUAAAUAAUUUUAUUUUUCUGCAUCUGGUAGGACUCUGCUUGCAUGUACUUGCUACUUCUUGUUGGUAACUUUCUAAUCAUAACUUAUCUAUGCCCUAAUUCAAAAAGUAACACGUGUUUAUUAUAGGCUAUUUAAUAAGCAUAGAAAAAUAAGAAAUGAUUCACCCAUAAUUCUACAAUUCAGAUAUAACCACAUCUAAUGUGUUUUUGGUUAGUGUACACACACACAAACAUAUUUUAUGGAUAACAGAUAUUUUGAAUAUUUGUAUGUAUAUUCUUAUUUAGAUAUCGGAUAUGUAAGAAGAAUUUCUUCCAUAAUUACAAUUUAUUUGGAAACAUAAUUCUAAUAGCUGCAUAAUAUUCUGUGGGUAAAUGUUUUUUUCCUUCUGUUUUUUUCCAUAAUUUUGAAAAUUUAGGCUAUUUAAUUAUUUUUAUCACAAUAGCAAUAUAAUAAGUAUCUUUGCACAAUGGCUUUGUAGGACUGAUUAUUUCAAUAUAGGAUCCUCUAAGCUGAAUUAUAGGAUGAAUUUACUGCUGAACUGCUUUCAAGAAAAGUUAUAUCCACUUGUAUUUCCACCAGUAGUCUCAGUGGCCAUCUGACUGUAAUUUGCUGAGUAUUUAAUCUCAUUUCUUAAUCUUUGCCAAUAGACCAAAAAGUGCAUUUUGUUUUUCUUAA